rnacentral:rRNA from 1 species
CUUGUGGAACGGCGGAGGGAUCAUUACCGAGUUUACAACUCCCAAACCCCUGUGAACAUACCACUUGUUGCCUCGGCGGAUCAGCCCGCUCCCGGUAAAACGGGACGGCCCGCCAGAGGACCCCUAAACUCUGUUUCUAUAUGUAACUUCUGAGUAAAACCAUAAAUAAAUCAAAACUUUCAACAACGGAUCUCUUGGUUCUGGCAUCGAUGAAGAACGCAGCAAAAUGCGAUAAGUAAUGUGAAUUGCAGAAUUCAGUGAAUCAUCGAAUCUUUGAACGCACAUUGCGCCCGCCAGUAUUCUGGCGGGCAUGCCUGUUCGAGCGUCAUUUCAACCCUCAAGCACACUUGGUGUUGGGACUCGCGUUAAUUCGCGUUCCUCAAAUUGAUUGGCGGUCACGUCGAGCUUCCAUAGCGUAGUAGUAAACCCUCGUUACUGGUAAUCGUCGCGGCCACGCCGUUAAACCCCAACUUCUGAAUGUGACCUCGGAUCAGGAGAAUGCCCAGCU